rnacentral:pre_miRNA from 1 species
GUUGAGGAGAAUGUUGUCUGGUUCGAAAUCAUUCAAUAGAAAAGGUAGUGGCGAAUCUAGUCACAGGGUUCAAGGUUGUUAAACCUUAUAUAUGUACGAAAAAUAAGUACAAUAUAUGUUUUAGAUUUUAAAAUGUCUAAUUUCUGAACGUCACAGAUUAAAUCGUUUGAUUAAUCAAUCUGGUGAGUGAUUUCGGGACCAGGCUUCAUUCCCCUCAAC